rnacentral:lncRNA from 10 species
UUCGAAUUUGACCAUUUGUAGUCAAGUUGUGUGCCAUGUGUGGAUGUGCACCAAGAGAGAUGAAGCCAUAUCUUCUACAACUCUUCAGUUUUUGAAAUUCAGAAGUUUCAAGAUUACGUUGACUGAAGUAGAUCAUAUUUGGCAAAGCUGUAGGUGACAGGGAAAGUUAAUCAACUGGAAGGAAAUGGAAGGGAAGAAUGUGGUCUACCUCUUCUCUCUCUACUUGAAAUUCAAGCAAGACCUUGGAGAAUACAGGUGGAGCUGGACCUGCAACCGGUGAUUGAACUACCAGUUUCUGAAGGCCACCCAUUCACACCUAUUUCCCGCUACUCCAGGUGGAAAUUGAAAAUGUAUCUCGCUGACCUCAAGGGAUGAUAUUCAGGAGCUUCAGGGAAUCUUCAGCUAAUGGGAGAAGCACAAGCAGAUUAAUGGAUCCCAAAGACAAAAUGCCUAUCCUAGCUCAAAUGACAUCUCGUGGAUCUUGAAAAGUGGAGCUUUCUGUGCCCAUCUUCAGAAAGAGACAUCAGACAAUCUUAACAUUUCUGCAGCUGAACAUGGGAUGAGAAGAGGGCAAUCUUCCAGUGGGUCCACCACAUUUUCUUUCCAAUUGAGCCAAUUCAUGGUCUCUUCUGGCAACUGCAAGGCCAGAUGUGAAUUUACCACUUUAUUGAGUGAAGCGGUCUGGGCAUUGUGAGACUCACAUAUGCACCCAGAGGGGAAGGGACCCUCACUCUGGGAAUGGAAAUCAAUUCAUAAUUGUACCCAGACAAAUGGGGCACACACUUCAGAUCUAUUACAGGAUUUAGUCGGAAUCAGAAGAACAAAGGCAUAAAGUAGAAACACAUUCAUAUGCCAGGCACAGGUAGGGGCUGGGGAGGGUAGAAAGUCCAGGGUUCCUGGCCGGCGAAGAAGGGCUCUGCUCAGCAUCUCAUGCUGGAGUGCAAGAGUAUAAAAUAAGGUAACUAAGGACAUGAAGCUUGGCCGCCUGCACCAUUUGAAAAAAGAAAAAUCAAACUGUGUUUUAUGAGUUUUUCUGGCUGAGUGGGCUGAUGGUAAAAGUGAUUGCAUAAGUGAAUAAAUUGAAAUAUGUAUCCUGGUUGUGUCAAAAGCAAAAAUAAUUAUUUUGUUCUUGGUGAGAUAUAGUGUUUAACUGCCAACACAUCAACCCAAAUAAAAAGGAAAUCUGCCUUUAGAUCUAGUAAUACAUUUAUUAACAAAUGAUGUAUCUGAAUUAUCCAUCGUUUUGAUCCACAUUUUGCAGAAAGGCA